rnacentral:lncRNA from 1 species
GUGGGGUUACAUUCAUGCGAGUUAAGGAGUGAGGGGUUACCUUCAUGAUUACUUGGAAGGCGUAGUUGGGAACAGUAGUACCGUAUAGCAGGCGCGUUGCUACCGAUGUCCGUGAAGUCUAGCAAUUGGGUUUCCUGCCGAUGAUGAGCUUAUUCAUUGGGCUCGGGCAUGACCCUCCCCCAGCCAUUUCCCCAGCCAUUUCCCCAUCCGAUCCCCCCCCCCCGCUGCUGACCUGAGCGCGAUGGACAGGAAGGUGACGCCGCUGCGCAGGCACCCACCCCAACCGACACGCCCAUACACACACGCCACGCUUUUCCCCGCCAUUUCCCCCCCCCCUGACCUGUGCGCGAUGGACAGGAAGGUGACGCCGCUGCGCAGGCACUCGCCGUACAGCCGCAGCUCGCCGUCCGCCGACACAGCACUGGUGCACUCGUCC